rnacentral:rRNA from 1 species
UACGAGGGGGGCGAGCGUUGUCCGGAAUUAUUGGGCGUAAAGAGCUCGUAGGCGGUUUGUCGCGUCUGCUGUGAAAACUCGGGGCUUAACCCCGGGCCUGCAGUGGGUACGGGCAGACUAGAGUGCGGUAGGGGAGACUGGAAUUCCUGGUGUAGCGGUGAAAUGCGCAGAUAUCAGGAGGAACACCGGUGGCGAAGGCGGCUACCUGGACAGAUACUGACGCUGAGGCGCGAGAGCGUGGGGAGCAAACAGG